rnacentral:rRNA from 1 species
CCUACGGGCGGCUGCAGUGGGGAAUAUUGGACAAUGGGGGGAACCCUGAUCCAGCCAUGCCGCGUGUGUGAAGAAGGCCCUCGGGUUGUAAAGCACUUUCAGUGAGGAAGAACGCCUGGUGGUUAAUACCCAUCAGGAAAGACAUCACUCACAGAAGAAGCACCGGCUAACUCCGUGCCAGCAGCCGCGGUAAUACGGAGGGUGCGAGCGUUAAUCGGAAUUACUGGGCGUAAAGCGCGCGUAGGUGGCUUGAUAAGCCGGUUGUGAAAGCCCCGGGCUCAACCUGGGAACGGCAUCCGGAACUGUCAAGCUAGAGGGCAGGAGAGGAAGGUAGAAUUCCCGGUGUAGCGGUGAAAUGCGUAGAGAUCGGGAGGAAUACCAGUGGCGAAGGCGGCCUUCUGGACUGACACUGACACUGAGGUGCGAAAGCGUGGGUAGCAAACAGGAUUAGAUACCCUUGUAGUC